rnacentral:rRNA from 1 species
UACAGAGGGUGCAAGCGUUGUUCGGAAUUAUUGGGCGUAAAGCGCGUGUAGGCGGCCACACAGGUCCGCUGUGAAAACUCGAGGCUCAACCUCGAGCUGUCGGUGGAAACCGUGUGGCUAGAGUCCGGAAGAGGAGACUGGAAUUCCCGGUGUAGCGGUGGAAUGCGCAGAUAUCAGGAGGAACACCGGUGGCGAAGGCGGGUCUCUGGGCCGAUACUGACGCUGAGGAGCGAAAGCGUGGGGAGCGAACAGG